UGCAGAAUCCCGUGAACCAUCGAGUCUUUGAACGCAAGUUGCGCCCCAAGCCGUUAGGCCGAGGGCACGCCUGCCUGGGUGUCACGCAUCGUUGCCCCCUCCCAAACCCCCCCUCUCCUCGAAAGGGGACGAGGGGACUUGGCCGUGGGCGGAUAUUGGCCUCCCGUCUGCCGAACGGCUCGCGGUUGGCCUAAAUACGAGUCGUCGGCGACGGACGCCGUGACGUUCGGUGGUCAAAGAAACCUCGAGCUCCCGUCGCGCGUACGUCGUCGGUCCGAUAAGGCUCACCGACCCUGAAGCGCUGCGGACAGCGCACGCACCGCGACCCCAGGUCAGGCGGGAUUACCCGCUGAGUUUAA
rnacentral:rRNA from 1 species